GCCAAAAGUAAGCACUGCAGUUAAUGGCUUCCUGAAUCUUUCUUUUGAUUGGACGAGCUUUUGUUUGAUUAGAUUUUUCUUUUUGUUCUGCAAUGCGAUUGGUUGGUGUUCUCUAAGUGGCCCCACUUACUGUAGACGCACUGUAAAGCAUUGCUUUUAGUAACUAAUACAACUUUUAAAAUUUUUCUUUGCUAAAAAAAACUAUAUAUGUCAUAUGAUUUUAAAAUACUUGGAUAAUACUGUCUUUCCUUUUAAAUAUGACUAUUACUGCCCCAUGCACGGUCAAAUUGCCAUCAUACCGUGUAUAUGUAUAUUUAUGGUUGUAAAAUUAAUGUAUAUACAGG